rnacentral:rRNA from 1 species
UACGGAGGGGGCUAGCGUUGUUCGGAAUUACUGGGCGUAAAGCGCACGUAGGCGGCUUUGUAAGUUAGAGGUGAAAGCCCAGGGCUUAACCCUGGAAUUGCCUUUAAGACUGCAUCGCUAGAAUCGUGGAGAGGUGAGUGGAAUUCCGAGUGUAGAGGUGAAAUUCGUAGAUAUUCGGAAGAACACCAGUGGCGAAGGCGGCGAUCUGGCCCAACACUGACACUGAGACCCAAAAGCGUGGGGAUCAAACAGG